AGGUGCUGUGGGAAGCAACAGCUACUGGAAAAUACAGGCACCCAGGCACCUGGACAUGAGCCCUGCUAAGACACAGUCAUAGGAGAGAGAGUAAUGGAGAAGGGACAAAAGUGUAAAGUGUCAGAAGCACAAGGUGAGCCAGGAAUACCCAUUAGAAAGGCUAACAGUAAUACAAAGCACAGAAAACCCAAAAUCAGCAUGUAAGCUUCUUUAACAGAGAAUAAACCAACUGUGUCAUGGAAAGAAGAUACAAGAACAGCUCCACUCCCCGAUGCUGUUCCUCUUGCACUCAGCUAAGGUUCAUGCAAAAUUCCAAACUUCAGAUGGCCUGAGAUCUUUGCAGUUUAGUCUCAAGAGGAUUAACCAAGUCAGGAAAACUGCGGUGACAGGCUGAGCUCCUCUUGGUUCUCUUUCUUUCUUUGACUUCUUCUGGUGCACUUGGUAAGUGAAAAGAUGCAUAGGCUCAUUUCCAAUGACCCUGACCAGACAGCCUACUGUCAAAACUGCAGGACUAGAAAGCAUUUGGAUAAGAGCUGAAAAUGCAAUCUAUUUAACAGUCAUGUGGCUGUGGCACUUCCAUGCUCCUCCUUCAGAACCAAGUAGAAAUGUUGUAAAGUCAAUCCUAUGGGUACUAAGUAGACAGAUUUCCUUCAUGUUUAAUGAGACCUUUCUCUUUUUGAGAUGCACACUAAAAUACCAGGUGGAUUUGGAUCCAAAGUCAUACACUGCUGACAAAUUGAACAAGAGCCCUGGAGGAAGGAUCAGAGGAAUCCUGAGAAAGUACAGGAGGAUCCAAUAUGCUAACCUGGAGCUCUUAGCUUUCAGGAACUCUAAUGUUUGGGAAACUCAGCCACUGUGCAAGGAACAGAGGCAUUCUGGGGACAGUGAUUAUAACAAAGUGAGGAAUAAAGCUUCUUUCAGAAGGACGACCAUUAUCCCACCAACAGAGUUUAGAGCACCCGAGGAAAGAAGUCAGAAGCCCUGUCACUAAUCCUGCAAAGGUAAGUUGAGUGGGGGGAAAAAAAAGUGAUACAAGUUUUAGAGACAAAUAAGCCUGCAUGUUUUAGAGAAGUUCUUCUGUACUGCAUGCUCCUGAAAACUUCCCAGCAAGUAUCCUUCCUAUCUUGAAAAUCCAACAAAUCUGUCAAAAAACCCUCUUCUGAAAGGAAGUUUUGGGCUUAUGAAAAGGUAAGGGCUGUUUCAAUAAAGGAGUUUAUCUGUGCAGGCUGAAGGUAACCAUGCAACUAGCACCACCUGAAACUGCAGGUUAUUGUAUAUGCAGAGAAUCCCUGCAAAGCAAUUAUACUGGGAUUGGCCCUUUGAAACCAGUCCUACAGGAGCAAGCAGGC